CCUGAAGGGUGGCUCUCCCACAGGCAAUCCCGCCUCCAGGGCAUCGCCCCGCCCCAUUGUCUCCGUCUUGGUAUCGCCCCGCCCCUUCUGCCUUUCCCGGGGGACGCUGGGAUCUCUCUACUAGCUUUGGAAAGUCGCGGCUGUAGCGCCCUUCUAACGUCACCACGCGGCUCUCGUGGCUCCUGUUUCUCAGCCCAUUCCAGGUCACCUCCCCCCCCUCCCCCGUUGCCCUCAUGCCUGGAAACGGAAGUGCGCUCCCGGAAACGGAAGUGAAUGCCGUACUCCGCGUGCAGGCCCGCCUCCUUCCACAUCAACCAGUCUAAGGUUGCUCCCACCAGACUAGGAGGACUGGAGAGUAGGGUUGGGGUCAAAGGGUAGCCUCCUGCAGGUCGCCUCCUCCUGUGGCUUUCCCGGACGUCGCGCUGGGACUUCCUGCCGACACCGCACUUCUUCCCAGACUCCCACCUGCGCCGCUGGGGGCUUGGGUCCAGUCUUGCUCUGCCACCCAACCCUGGAGUGCAAUGGCGCAAUCUUGGCUCACUGCAACCUCUGCUUCCCAAGUUGAAGUGAUUCUCCUACCUCAGCCUCCCGAGUAGCUGGGAUUACAGGCAUGUGCCACCACACCUGGCUGAUCUUUCUUUUAGUAGAGAUGGGGUUUCACCAUGUUGUCCAGGCUGGUCUCGAACUCCUGACUUCGUGAUCCACCCACCUUGGCCUCCCAAAGUGCUGGGAUUACAGAUUUCCAGGGUCUUUGAAGAUGUUAGUUCACUGUUUAUUCAUGUGGGUUCCUGUAAAUGUCUGCAGCCAAUCUGGAAGUGGAGCUGUAUUUGGAACUUUUUGAAUCUAAAUCAGUUUGGGAGAAGUGAGUCUUUUCAGAAUUUGACCUUUCAAUGAAUGUCUCAAAUUUGUUUACGUCAUCUUUAAUGUUUUCAAUACUGUCUUCAAAACAAUUUGUUCCGGCCAGGCAUGGUGGCUCACACCUGUAAUCCCAGCACUCUGGGAGGCUGAGGUGGGCAGAUCACGAGGUCAAGAGAUCCAGACCAUCCUGGACAACAUGGUGAAACCCCAUCUCUAACUAGCUGGGUGUGGUGGCCCUUGCCUGUAGUCCCAGCUACUCCGGAGGCUGAGGCAGGAGAAUCACUUGAACCCAGGAGGCGAAGGUUUGCAAUGAGCUGAGAUUGCGCCACUGCACUCCAGCCUGGCAACAGAGCGAGACUGCAUCUCAAAAAAAAAAACGAAAAAAAAAAAAAACCCAGUUUCCUUCUAUUUCAUAAAUUAUUUUUGAAGGUUUUCAGGCUUCAUUCUGUCCUUGUCUGAGUUUGUUAUCCUGCCCUCAUAUACUGCCAGAAUGUUUUUGUUUUUUGUUUUUUUGAAAUGGAGUUUCGCUCUUGUUGCCCAGGCUGGAGUGCAACGGUCCAAUCUCGGCUCACUGCAACCUCUGCCUCCCGGGUUCAAGCGAUUCUCCUGCCUCAGCCUCCCAAGUAGGUGGGGUUACAGGCAUGUACCACCAUGCCCAGCUAAUUUUGUAUUUUUGGUAGAGAUGGGGUUUCUCCAUGUUGGCCAGGCUGGUCUCGAACUCCCAACCUCAGGUGAUCCGCCCGCCUUGGCCUCCCAAAGUGCUGGAAUUACAGGCGUGAGCCACCGCGUCUGGCCGAGAACGUGUUAUUUUUCUAAAUUCUCCAAGUGUUGUCAUAUUGCGUCAAUAUGGUGCCUCCAGAAACCAAAAAAACCGACCAAGCAUUGUGCUGUUUGUGAUUAGUAGUACAAAUUGCAGCAAUUCUCCUUUCACCUUAGAGGGAAUAUCUUGACAAGCGCCAGACAACUGAACCCCUAGAAACUUCAGGUGGUUAGCCUGAAUGUUUGGGUGUAUUCCCCAACAAACAUUCACGUCUGUCUUACGAAAGAACUCAUAAAGGCAUCAAUAGAGAGGACAAGUUGUGGGAUGUAAAGAUGACCAUACCUGCUGGAUGUUAUUGCAAGCAACAGUAUAACUGAUGUAACGCUGAGAAAAAGUAAGUUGCUCCUGGUUGUCCUUACAGGUUGAGAAAAUGGUAUUUCUAGGUCAGUAGCUCACAUUUGUAGUAAAUUAAUGAACAUUAGUUAUUAGGGGAAAAGUAUGGGCACUAAUAGCACAAUUUGCCAGAAACAUAAAAUGAGUAAACUUAAAUGUACCCAAUUACAGUGCCCCCCAAAAAAGGAGAGUUUUUUUUUUUUUUUUUUCCCUGAGACACGGUCUUGCUGUGGCCCGGGCAGGAAUGCAGUGGCAUGACCUCGGCUCACUGCUACCUCUGCCUCCUGGGCUCAGGUGAUCCUCUCACCUCAGCCUACUGAGUAGCUGGGACUUACAGGUACACAAUACCAUACCUGGCUAACUUUUUUUUGUUUUGUUUUUUGUAGAGAUGGAGUUUCGGCUCAUUGGCUGGGCUUGGUCUUGAACUGGUAAGCUCAAGUGAUCUGCCCGCCUUGGGCUCCCAGACAUGCACCACUGCACCUGGCCUAGAGAGAGAGAUUUUUAAAGAAAACAAUUUGGCUGGGGGCGGUGACUCACACUUGUAAUCCUAGCACUCUGGGAGGCCAACACAGGCAGAUCACUUGAGAUCAGGAGUUCAAAACCAGCCUGGCCAACAUGGCGAAACCCCACCUCUACUAAAAAUACAAAAAAGUAGCUAGGCGUGGUGGCAUUUGCCUGUAAUCCCAGCUACUUGGGAGGAUGAGACACGAGAAUCACUUGAACUCAGAAGGCGGAGGUUGCACUGAGCUGAGAUCACACCACUGCACUCCAGCCUGGGCAACACAGCAAGACCUAAUUAUUCCUUUUUUGGUAGAGAUGGGGUCUCACUGUGUUGCCUCAGCUGAUUUCAAGCUCCUAGACUUAAGUGAUCCUUCUGCCUCAGAAAACACAAUUUUUCAACCAUACUUGAACGAUUCCUAAAACUUGACCAUUUAUUAGAUGUAACAGUUGGGACUGAAAUCAGCUGAAAGAGGAACUUCC
rnacentral:lncRNA from 10 species